GUUAGUGAGUGGAGAGGGAUAACUACAGAACAGGUAAUUCCGACCAUACAGUUAUACGCCUGCAGGUGGACCCAACGUCGUCCCAGGCGUACAUAGUGGCACUGUUGGAGGUAUGCCCUAGAGGCAAUCUUAGAGAUGAUGAUAUUCCAUUUGUAUCCAUGAUUUAUAUUGUGUUCCUUGAAUAUCCAUUAAAGGCUACUUGAAUUGAUUUGCAAUUAUGUGAAU
rnacentral:lncRNA from 1 species